AUUGAACGCUGGCGGCAGGCUUAACACAUGCAAGUCGAACGAGUGGCGGACGGGUGAGUAAUAUCUGGGAAACUGCCCGAUGGAGGGGGAUAACUACUCGAAAAGGUAGCUAAUACCGCAUACUAUUGGAUCGGCCGAGAUGGGAUUAGCUAGUUGGUGGGGUAAAGGCUCACCUAGGCGACGAUCCCUAGCUGGUUUGAGAGGAUGACCAGCCACACUGGAACUGAGACACGGUCCAGACUCCUACGUGAGGCAGCAGUGGGGAAUAUUGCACAAUGGGCGCAAGCCUGAUGCAGCCAUGCCGCGUGUAUGAAGAAGGCCUUCGGGUUGUAAAGUACUUUUAGCAGGGAGGCGUUACCCGCAGAAGAAGCACCGGCUAACUCCGUGCCAGCAGCCGCGGUAAUAC
rnacentral:rRNA from 1 species